AGUGAACGCUGGCGGUAGGCCUAACACAUGCAAGUCGAACGGCAGCACAGUAAGAGCUUGCUCUUACGGGUGGCGAGUGGCGGACGGGUGAGGAAUACAUCGGAAUCUACUUUUUCGUGGGGGAUAACGUAGGGAAACUUACGCUAAUACCGCAUACGACCUACGGGUGAAAGCAGGGGAUCUUCGGACCUUGCGCGAUUGAAUGAGCCGAUGUCGGAUUAGCUAGUUGGCGGGGUAAAGGCCAACCAAGGCGACGAUCCGUAGCUGGUCUGAGAGGAUGAUCAGCCACACUGGAGCUGGGACACGGUCCAGACUCCUACGGGAGGCAGCAGUGGGGAAUAUUGGACAAUGGGCGCAAGCCUGAUCCAGCCAUACCGCGUGGGUGAAGAAGGCCUUCGGGUUGUAAAGCCCUUUUGUUGGGAAAGAAAAGCAGCAGGUUAAUACCCCGCUGUUCUGACGGUACCCAAAGAAUAAGCACCGGCUAACUUCAUG
rnacentral:rRNA from 1 species